CACGUAGGGGGCAAGCGUUGUCCGGAUUUAUUGGGCGUAAAGAGCUCGUAGGCGGCUUAGUAAGUCGGGUGUGAAACCUCCAGGCUCAACCUGGAGACGCCACCCGAUACUGCUAUAGCUAGAGUCCGGUAGGGGAGCGUGGAAUUCCUGGUGUAGCGGUGAAAUGCGCAGAUAUCAGGAGGAACACCAGCGGCGAAGGCGGCGCUCUGGGCCGGAACUGACGCUGAGGAGCGAAAGCGUGGGGAGCGAACAGG
rnacentral:rRNA from 1 species